rnacentral:lncRNA from 1 species
CCUUUACUUCAAUAGAAAUUGCUAAGGCAACUUAAAAUGUAAACAUGUUCCGCCCAAUGCCUCCCAGCUAUUGCUUAAAAAUAUAAAAAUAAAUCAGACCCUGAGACUUCUCAGAGGGAACCUGAACAUUGCUUGUGAAGGUUCUUUUCUCAUCGCUGCCCCAGGACAUCUCCCCUUCCUACCCUACAUCGACUGCACAUCGACUGCAGCUGGUCUGCGGCAUUCUGAGAUAAACCAAUCAUCAGGCAGGUGCUGUGGAGCUUCUCUGCGGCAUCUGGGUGUCACUGUCCCCAAGCAGACUCAGCGAUGCAGGGCCUCUGAAGCUGCCUGCCCACGUGUGACUGCUGCACCAAAGCACAGGACCAUGCACCAACAGGACACCACCAUCGUGAGCAUGCUUCCUACUUUUCAAGGAUUUUCAUAGCAGUUAUGUUGACAUAAUUGAUGUAAAGACAGUAAGGAAGAGACAGCAGAGGAAGCAGCAUGGAAUGGAUGAAUUAA